CCUACGGGGGGCAGCAGUGAGGAAUAUUGGUCAAUGGGCUUACGCCUGAACCAGCCAAGUCGCGUGAGGGAAGACUGCCCUAUGGGUUGUAAACCUCGUUUGUCAGGGAGCAAAUGGCGCUACGUGUAGCGUUAUCGAGAGGACCUGAAGAAAAAGCAACGGCGAACUCCGUGCCAGCAGCCGCGGGAAUACGGCGGAUGCGAGCGUGAGCCGGAUGUAUUGGGUGGCAAGGGUGCGUAGGCGGAAUGCCAAGUCAGCGGUUACAUCGAGGGGCUCAACCUCGCUUCGCCGUUGAAACUGGCGUUCUUGCGUGGGCGAGACGUAUGCGGCAUGC
rnacentral:rRNA from 1 species